AAAUAUACAGUCUCCCACCCCAAUGGCACAAGGCACCUUAGCGCAAACCCCCCCCCCCAGCCCUCCCCCCGAGAAAGGGUCACACGUCGCUAAUAAUGGUCUAAUGUGACUUCAUCAGGCAUUUCUAGCCUUCUGGGGCUGGGACAGAUACUGCAGCAUCUUGCUACUAGUCCUCGGAGUGCUGCUCAUGUCACUUACACGGGUUGACGGGGGAAGCUGGGCUGGUUAUAGGCGUAUGAUGAGGCAAAGUUAGCUGGUUAGUGUCCUAGAGGCUCAGAGUAAGGUGAAAGCCGCAUCUGAAGAAAUGCCAAGUCCAGGCAUUCACUGCCUCCUUCACCUACCUCGCUGUGCUUAGGUGGAGCAAGCACAUCUGGCGUGUGGAAGCGCUCACUGAGACCUCCCUGGGUGACCAGAAGGCUGAUGCGUCAGCCUAAACUUUGAACGUUGUCCUCGCUCCUGUUACCAUAGACGUAUGCACAUUUUUAAAGAUCUUUCUUCAAGAUGGCACUUCCCUGUAGGAUCUGACAGGUUUCCAGCGUUGGAUUGUCUUCUAGGGCAAAUUGUCACCAAUGGCAGUAAAACUUGUUUUCCAGUAUUCUGGGUUAAAUGGACUAACUGGCUCUCAUUCUGAGGGAACCUAAUGGAUAUCUCUUGCUUUAAUUAAAUCUCUACUGUAUGUCAAAAAGAUUUCUCAAGUCUGGAAGCUGCUCUGAAAGCAAUUGAAGCAGCAUAAAAAUGUGAAUCUAACAAGACUCCAAACAACUUGAGAGAGAAUUUUCUACUGAUCAGUUUGUAAUUUAAAUCCUUAACUGAAGCCUGCAUAGUAGUUAAACUGGUUGAAGAGAGAGCUUGCUCCUUUUGCUCUUCAAAAAAG
rnacentral:lncRNA from 1 species